rnacentral:ncRNA from 1 species
AGGAGCCGUGCGAGAUGAAAGUCUCAUGCACGGUUUUGCAUGAAGGAGGAUGAGGAGGAGGUCGUAGAGUCCUAU